rnacentral:tRNA from 1 species
GCCUGGUUCGGGACCAGGAGGUCGGAAGUUCAAAUCUUCUCGCCCCGACCA